rnacentral:rRNA from 1 species
CCUACGGGUGGCAGCAGUGAGGAAUAUUGGUCAAUGGACGAGAGUCUGAACCAGCCAAGUAGCGUGAAGGAUGACUGCCCUAUGGGUUGUAAACUUCUUUUAUAUGGGAAUAAAAUGUUCCACGUGUGGGAUUUUGUAUGUACCAUAUGAAUAAGGAUCGGCUAACUGCGUGCCAGCAGCCGCGGUAAUACGGAGGAUCCGAGCGUUAUCCGGAUUUAUUGGGUUUAAAGGGAGCGUAGGUGGAUUGUUAAGUCAGUUGUGAAAGUUUGCGGCUCAACCGUAAAAUUGCAGUUGAAACUGGCAGUCUUGAGUACAGUAGAGGUGGGCGGAAUUCGUGGUGUAGCGGUGAAAUGCUUAGAUAUCACGAAGAACUCCGAUUGCGAAGGCAGUUCACUGGACUGCAACUGACACUGAGGCUCGAAAGUGUGGGUAUCAAACAGGAUUAGAUACCCGAGUAGUC